UUGGUUAGUUGGUAGCGGAAGGCGGAGUACUCCUAAAACAUGCUGCUGCUCAGUUAAUGCAGCUACGAAGCAUCACUGGAUUCUCCCCAAAUGCAAGCGAUACGAAAGCAGGAAUUUCUGUGGACCAUCCUCUGCUGUGGGCCCCCAGAAUCAUCAACACCUUUCACCUCAAAUAGAUGAAUGCAGAAAAGUCUCAGAGACAUUUAUGGCUGAAGAAGCAAACAACACAGAAUGUGGUCUUCAUGUUUAGCUAACGGAUAGAUCUACAGUUUCAGAAAACUGAGGCCCUUUCGCCACGGGACAGAUUUCAUGCUUCCGGAUCAUCACUGCACCUCGACUGACACAAGGUUUGGACUGUGUCUGGGAUCCUGCAGGGGUGAAAGGGAUUCUCAGCAUAAUAUUUACAGUAUCACUGGCUGUGUUGAUGAUUUA